GGGGAAUAUUGGACAAUGGGCGAAAGCCUGAUCCAGCAAUACCGCGUGAAUGAUGAAGGCCUUAGGGUUGUAAAGUUCUUUUAGUUGGAAAGAUAAUGACGGUACCAACAGAAAAAGCCCCGGCUAACUCCGUGCCAGCAGCCGCGGUAAGACGGAGGGGGCUAGCGUUGUUCGGAAUUACUGGGCGUAAAGAGCGCGUAGGCGGAUUAGUAAGUUGGGAGUGAAAGCCCGGGGCUUAACCUCGGAACUGCUUUCAAAACUGCUAGUCUUGAGUGAAGUAGGGGAUGAUGGAAUUCCUAGUGUAGAGGUGAAAUUCUUAGAUAUUAGGAGGAACACCGGUGGCGAAGGCGGUCAUCUGGACUUCAACUGACGCUGAGGCGCGAAAGCGUGGGGAGCAAAC
rnacentral:rRNA from 1 species